AGUAAAAUGGCUGAGGUAUAGGCGAUAAAUUGUAAAUUUAUUAACGAAAAUUUUUUUCUUUUACUA
rnacentral:tRNA from 1 species